ensembl:lincRNA
CACAGCCACUCAGGGCCAUCCAUACAGACAGAGGCUUCAUGGCCACUGUGGCUGAUGUCCAAGGUUUGAUACAGUGGAGAUCUAACAUCUACAAGGAAGAAGUGGGGCUGGGGGCAAGCUGGAGUCACACUGCAUCAUCUGUGGGGAGGACCCCGCGCUUCCCACUUGAUUCUCAUUCAGAUACUUUUCCUCAGAUGGCUCAAGCAAGUCUGGUCCAGGAGGGCUCACAGCAUGGUCUGAAGUUCAGGGUGGUGACCCUCAAGGCAGUGGUCACUAUCAUGUGGUUCUGUUCAGCAGACUGCCUGCACAAUAGGAGCAGCCCCCAGUGGGUAGUCAAAACCAGUCAGGCAUAAGGGGCAGAAAACUUUCUCACCAAGAAAAUCCUUGGGAAUUUCACUGAGAAAACCUGUACUAUUUAAACAGAAAGAGCUUUAAUGCAAGAAAGAUGGAGACAUUAAUUGACUGGAGAGACUUGAUUUGUGCUCCUCAGCAGGGUGGGGACUCCUGAGGUACUUAAAUCACCAAAAGAAAAGGAAGACUCAAAAAGAAAGAAUGAGGGAAACAAAAGGGAGAAGGAAAGGGGAAAAGGAGGGAGAGUAGAAGGAAGGAAGGAAGGAAGGGAAGGAGGGAGGGAGGGAAGGAGGGAUAAAAAAAGAAAAAAGAAAGAAAGGAAGGAAGGGAAGAAAGAAAGAAAACAAAAAUGAAGGAAAGGCAGAAGGAGAGAGAAAGCAAGCUAGCUCUUUUGGGGACCUCCUUUUAAAAUGUGCUGUCAUUACUCUGAACCCACAGUUUUGCUGUGACCCAUCUGCUAAUGAUCUUCCACCACAUAUACAUUUAUUUUAUUUAAGGAGCUGUUUCCUCUGCUUCCUGCAAGGUAUUUUCUUGAAAUAGUUUCCACAGAACCAGAAACAAACUCUUUGGCCUAAAGGAAAUGUCAAAUCCAGUCCACACGAAUGGAGGAAUAGGGUUAGAUUAUUUACAUUUGCACAGGAUUUACUUUUACUUAGAGAGGGAGAAAAAUUCUCAUUGCUUUUACAGGGUUUGUUGUGUUGGACUAAUUUGCUUUUUUCUUUGUCUUCCUCUUCUUUGAAAGGAAGCACUGAGGGGUUAAGUAACAGUCUAAGAACACUUGAGACAGCUAGCUAAUGCAUCUGGUUUGUUGCCACAGAUCCUGUGUAUAAUAAUAUUCCAAGAAGGGCUGGGGAUUUAGCUCAGCGGCAAAAGCGCCUGCCUGGCAAGCGCAAGGUCGUGAGUUCGGUUCUCGGUACUGGAGAAAAACCAAAAAAAAAAAAAAAAAAAAAAAAUUCCAAGAAGUGACAAUAACUAAGAAAAGAAAGAAUUAAAAUUAAUAGUAUUUAGCAACUACAGUUGGUUAAUAAAGUUGCUUUUUUAAAAAAGAGAGGGGUUAUUGCUUAGGCCUAAAGAAAAAUAUAAUAGUCACACUGAUGUUCAAAGCUAAUGACACCUGUAAUUUUAACACACUCUGAUGUAAGCUUCAUUGUCAAGUUGUUUAAGAAAACAAGAGUCAAUCUCCAUUUAGAGUGACCUGUGGCAGGGUGUGAGGAUCAGAGGAACCAAAGCAGGAUUCAGUGUGUCCCUCUCCUGUGCCACUGAGCUACGGGCUCCGCACGUCCCGAGAGAGGGAGGCUCAGAUGAGGUCACUGGGAUUAGGCACACAAGCUAAUGGGCUUCUUAAUUGUUCCAAAGGGUCCUGUGAUUCGGCUGGAAGCCAGCACACUUCAGACAGCAAAGCCUCUCAAUUAGGUCCAGUCUGGAUGCCAAGUUGCUCAGCAAGAGCAUGUGAAAGGCCUUCUUUUGACUUUUGAUCAAGUUCAUUUGAAAUCUUUGCCAUGAGACCUUGAAAAUCACCAUCAAAAAUAUGUCUGGAAUGUCUCAUACCUGGGAAGUACUAGCUCUCGGUAGCUGUUCUUGACAUAGAGCUUAUGACCAAUGGGUUCACCAUGUUCCCAAGUAAACGGAUUCAAAACAAAACAUUGCGGUGGAACUGGGGGUCACAGGACACCCAUUUACAUUUACCAGCAGAGCUGAGCUCCCAGUGUCGGAGGGAGGGAAGCUUCCGGACACCUCUGUGUGGGUGUGGAGCCCAACACAUGGUACAUACUUAAUGAAGGGCCGUAGACUUGGGUGGGUAAAUUAGCAGACUUCUUAAGGCAGUGGACUGUGCACCAAGCAAACAAACAAACAAACAGGAGUCUAAUGUAGGCCUCUCCCCAUCCUAUUUUCCCAGUUACCCAUGGUGAGGCCUGAAAUGUUUGUGCUUCUGAUGGCAGAAGAGCUUUUCUUCACCCUGGGCAACCCAGCUUAGUGGCAGUGCGCCUGCUCUGUGGAAGUCGUCCAAGCCCUCCUGCUUUGCCCUGCUCGUUUGUGUGGAGAAGUGAAGGCGCUGGCUGGGAUCAGAGAACUGCAGAGAAGGGAUUUCACUUCAGUGCACUGUGUUUUCUCUUUAAGUACAAAGAGUUUGACUAACAGUACUACCAAUACUUGGUGUUCAGAGCCUCUUUGUCUUCUCUACUGAGUUUCUUUAUGAUGAUAAUACAUGGCGAACCCACAGUCCAGAAGGAUUCAGACCUCCUCUCUUCAGGACAUGGUAGAUGCCAUGGAGCCACAAACAGCAGAUAAAGGCCUGAGCUCCGGACGAGAGUCAGGGCGGACUGCGGAGUUUCUGUGACCCCCACGCACUGUCCUCGGGCUGCCCUGCCGAGCUCCCCCACACGGAGCAAAAGUGCGGGGACUCAGAUGUCAGCCGUGAAGAGGUGGCGAGCGUCACUGUAAACAUGUACAUUUAUACAUUUAAUCAAUACUUGCAAACUCACAUCUACCAGGAUCAAAACUGAUGUGGAGCAGGUGUCAUAUGAAAGAAGUGGUAGAGGUUGCAGCAGAAUGAUGAACUUCUGCCUGUUCCAGAGUUCGGCAUGGUUCAAAUUCCUCCAGACACACAUCCACAUGGGUACACACACACACACACACACACACACACACACACACACACUGCAGUAUCUAUAUGUAGCCCUUUGAUCAUUAUUUUUAAUCCAGGAGUCCUACCAUAAUGUUUCAUUUAGUUUUUUUUUUUAAGUAGGAGUCAAGCUUGGAUCUAUUUACUGUCAUGUGAAAAUUUAAAUCAGCAUCAUUUCAAAAAUCCUAGGGACUCAGCCAACCAAAGAAGGACUUUCUUACCCAUUCCUGAGAAAACUCAGUCCACUGCCGUCGUGCCCAGGCCAGCCUCAGCUCCACCUCCGCCUGCCGCCCUCUCUCUGAGCUCCCCUGGGAGGAAAGAGCCCCCACGAAGGCUCCCGGGGUUCUGAGAGAAGCCGAGCCCCUUGGCAGCACGGAGCGGGGCUGGUGCUACCAAGGGUGAGAAAGUAACAAUGGAAAGAAAACUACGAGCAACAUUUAUGUGGAUUUUCCCCAUAACUUAUUCAAUAAACAAAUAUUUAAGUUGUCAUAUA